rnacentral:rRNA from 1 species
GAUGAACGCUGGCGGCGUGCCUAAUACAUGCAAGUCGAGCGAACAGACGAGGAGCUUGCUCCUUUGACGUUAGCGGCGGACGGGUGAGUAACACGUAGGUAACCUACCUAUAAGACUGGGAUAACUUCGGGAAACCGGAGCUAAUACCGGAUAAUAUUUCGAACCGCAUGGUUCGAUAGUGAAAGAUGGCUUUGCUAUCACUUAUAGAUGGACCUGCGCCGUAUUAGCUAGUUGGUAAGGUAACGGCUUACCAAGGCAACGAUACGUAGCCGACCUGAGAGGGUGAUCGGCCACACUGGAACUGAGACACGGUCCAGACUCCUACGGGAGGCAGCAGUAGGGAAUCUUCCGCAAUGGGCGAAAGCCUGACGGAGCAACGCCGCGUGAGUGAUGAAGGUCUUCGGAUCGUAAAACUCUGUUAAUAGGGAAGAACAAACGUGUAAGUAACUGUGCACGUCUUGACGGUACCUAAUCAGAAAGCCACGGCUAACUACGUG